rnacentral:rRNA from 1 species
AGAACGAACGCUGGCGGCAGGCUUAACACAUGCAAGUCGAACGCCCCGCAAGGGGAGUGGCAGACGGGUGAGUAACGCGUGGGAAUCUACCUGGUUCUACGGAAUAACACAGGGAAACUUGUGCUAAUACCGUAUACGCCCCAAGGGGGAAAGAUUUAUCGGUGCCAGAUGAGCCCGCGUAAGAUUAGCUAGUUGGUGGGGUAAUGGCCUACCAAGGCGACGAUCUUUAGCUGGUCUGAGAGGAUGAUCAGCCACACUGGGACUGAGACACGGCCCAGACUCCUACGGGAGGCAGCAGUGGGGAAUAUUGGACAAUGGGCGAAAGCCUGAUCCAGCCAUGCCGCGUGAGUGAUGAAGGCCUUAGGGUUGUAAAGCUCUUUCAGUGGGGAAGAUAAUGACGGUACCCACAGAAGAAGCCCCGGCUAACUUCGCGCCAGCAGCCGC